rnacentral:lncRNA from 1 species
UUCCCCCUCCAGGCAUAGUCUUAUUUCUGCAAGGAAGACCUAUUACCUUCCUGUUUCACACUUGGUUACCAUUCUGUAACUAGUUUUUCUGCCCCUAGAAGUUUCAUUCUUACCACACUGGAAAUCUUAGCAAUUUCAUCAUACAUUUUUUUCCUUUCCUUAUUAAAGUGAGAACUUUCACUUUUUCACUUAAGGAAGCACUUUAUGGCUUCUCUUUGCCCUAGUCUUGUGUUUGGGGCCAAUAUUGAAUAAAAUAAGCAAGACUUGAACAGAAGCACUGUGCUACCUGGACAGUCAAUUUAUAACCCAGACAGCUACUAAAUGUCAGGAUGUGUGGUGCACACAGUGAAUUCAUGGGACAGAGAGGGCGUGAGGAUUCGCCAUGCUUCUCAGAACAGGGCACAACUUCACUCUUAUGAACUGAGAGGGCAACUUACAUCCUGAGAGGCACAAAGGCGUCGGUGUGAGGAUUUGCCAUGCUUCUCAGGGCACAACUUCACUCUUACGAACUGUUUAUUUCAGGAAAUUUUUAUUUAAUAUUUUCAGACUGCAGUUGACCACAGGCACCUGGGACCACAGAAAGUGAAACCGCACAUAGAAAUAAUGUGCCAUUUCCAUUAAGUACUUAACAAAUGUUUCCUAAAAAAUCAAAAGCACUCUCACGCCUGCACAGAGUAUACUCAUCACUUCUAUUCUGUACCGGUAGUGGAAGUCCUAGCCUAGCACUUAGGCAAAAGAAGGAAAUAAAGGGCAACCACAUUGGAAAGGAAGAAUUCAAAUUGUCCUUGCUUGCAGAGGAGUUGGUAUUACAUAUAGAAAACCCUAAAGACUCCUUCAAAAAGUUGUUAGAACUAAUUAAUAAGCACAUUCAGUGAGG